UACGUAGGGGGCAAGCGUUGUCCGGAUUUAUUGGGCGUAAAGAGCGUGUAGGCGGCUUGGUAGGUCCGCUGUGAAAACUCGAGGCUCAACCUCGAGAUGUCGGCGGAAACCACUUGGCUAGAGUCCGGAAGAGGAGAGUGGAAUUCCUGGUGUAGCGGUGAAAUGCGUAGAUAUCAGGAGGAACACCUGUGGCGAAAGCGGCUCACUGGACCACAACUGACGCUGAGGCGCGAAAGCUAGGGGAGCAAACAGG
rnacentral:rRNA from 1 species